UACGUAGGGGGCGAGCGUUGUCCGGAAUUACUGGGCGUAAAGCGUGCGCAGGCGGUAAGUUAAGUCUGAUGUGAAAGCCCCGGGCUCAACCUGGGAAUGGCAUUGGAAACUGGCUUGCUGGAGUGUGGCAGAGGGGGGUGGAAUUCCGCGUGUAGCAGUGAAAUGCGUAGAGAUGCGGAGGAACACCGAUGGCGAAGGCAGCCCCCUGGGCCAACACUGACGCUCAGGCACGAAAGCGUGGGGAGCAAACAGG
rnacentral:rRNA from 1 species